rnacentral:lncRNA from 1 species
AUGGUCCCAGCGCUGGGGUUUCUUGCUGGCACAGGACGUGCAGGAGGCUUCACGAGGAGAUGGCUGAAAAAGGAAAAACCCACCCAACAAAUCACCCAGAUUUUGGCUGUUCCCCCUCCGCUGCUGUGCUCCUCAGAAGUACAAGUAUUGAAGCGAGGCACAAUGUUUUCUUACCGGCGGUUUGAAAACAACGUUUUCUAUCCAGAAAAUCAGCCAAAAAGGAAAAAAAAAAAAAAAGGAAAAAAAAAAAGAGAGCAGCUGCUGCGAGCGGCUGUGGAGGAGCCAGUGGAGCUCAGGCUGGGGAGGAGCAGGCCCGCCUGCUCUCCCGGUCCGAGCGGCGGCGCAGGAGGAAUGAAAUCAGUCGUACUAAUGAGGAUCCGGUCACACGUGGGGUCUGUGGGCCGGAGCACUCCUGAACAUAUCUGUAGUGGUCUGAUGCAACUUCACUCUGCGCACACUGGAACAAAAACCACGUGAGAAAGGGAAGCUAACAGCUGUUGUCUAUUAUUGCUAGGAGUAAUGAGCAGAGAUUCAGAUCAGGUAAUAGUCAAAUAAUAUAAAUUGUUUAUAAAGGAAAGGCCUUCUUUUCCUAGGCGUUUCACUUUGAAUUAAACCUUUGCCUUCGGCAUUGCUACAACUGCCUUGAAGUUGGGACGCUUUGUGCCGCCGCGGGGCAGCACCAAGGGCUGGAUUUUGCACCAGUUUAACCCUCACUGACGGAGCAGGACACGUCCCAUGGGGUGUGGGGUGCCGGGGGUGGUCCUGGAGCCUGGAAGUUUAAGGGAUGCCCCCGCUGUGGGUGAGAGGCAAAGCCCGAGCUGGGUGUUUGCAAGGCUGGUGGAGGUGUUUUCAGCAUGGAGAGUUUGUACAAGGGCUUGGGGGCACUGCUGGGUCUGGUGUGGGGCAGGAGCAGAGCCCCUUCCUCGUGCCCACAGCGCCGGAAUCGCUGCAGCUCUCGGAGAUGCUGUCAGGCUAAAAAUAAUUACAUAAACAAAUUCCUUCGCUGUGUAAGUACCGAGUGACGAGCGUAAAGGCAGAAUUCGCUCCCGCCAGCACAUUUUCUCCUCCUUUAUCGGCACAGCGUUCCCUGCCAAAUGCAGGAGGUGGCUCUAGACGUGCCUGUUUCACUCUCUGGCUCCCGCGAACCGGCACAAAUGUUGCAGGAUUGGAGCUGCGAAGGCGGCAGACGCAGAAGCCCCAGCCAUCAAACACUCACGCAACUGUUUUCCCUGCCUCUCCACGGGGUUUGGUAACAAAAGUCCCUGUUGCAGGCGCUGGCUCCCGGCAGGCUCCUCUUCAGUCCCAGCGGAGCCCGCGUGCCUUUGAAGUGGACGCCAAGAUUCCCCCCGCGAGCAGCCGCUGCACCUGCUGAGCGCUGCUGUCGCCCCUCGCAGCGCGGAGGCAUCGGGGGCACCACGGGCUUCACUUGCUCUUGGUUCCUGGCCAGGGCCGGGGCUGCUCCCGGCUCUCUGUGGCU